CUACAGGCGAUGAACGGGAUUAGUAUAUGCACGAAAUGUCACAGAGAGGAAGCAAUCAGGUGCGAGGCUUCUGCAGGAAAUGCAUAGAACCGGCCCGGGAGCUGCUGUGUGAAAACACGGCGUAGAACCGGCGUUAACGGUGUAUGAGUGAACUGUGUCAGGGGAUGCAGUUAAUUAGGGUGGUACCGCCGAGACUUUCGGUCCCUUUU
rnacentral:ncRNA from 1 species